AUCAUGCUCAGAAKYGAMGACGCUGGCGGCGUGCCUAACACAUGCAAGUCGAACGGUAACAGGUCUUCGGAUGCUGACGAGUGGCGCACGGGUGAGUAACGCGUGGAUAUCUGCCUAUUAGUGGGGGACAACUACAGGAAACUGUAGCUAAUACCGCAUAAUCUCUACGGAGGAAAGCAGGGGACCUUUCGGGGCCUUGCGCUGAUAGAUGAGUCCGCGUCUGAKUAGCUAGUUGGUAAGGUAAUGGCUUACCAAGGCGAUGAUCAGUAACUGGUUUGAGAGGAUGAUCAGUCACACUGGAACUGAGACACGGUCCAGACUCCUACGGGAGGCAGCAGUGGGGAAUAUUGCACAAUGGGGGAAACCCUGAUGCAGCGACGCCGCGUGCGGGAAGAAGGCCUUCGGGUUGUAAACCGCUUUCAAUUGGGAAGAAGAGAUGAGUAUUAAUAGUGCUCUGAUUUGACGGUACCUUUAGAAGAAGCACCGGCUAAUUUCGUGCCAGCAGCCGCGGUAAUACGAAAGGUGCAAGCGUUGUUCGGAUUUACUGGGCGUAAAGAGAUCGUAGGGUGGUUUKUUWAGGUCGGAUGKGGAAAAUCCCAGGGCUCAACCCCUGGAACUGCAUUCGAUACUGGCAGGCUAGAGUUUUGGGGAGGGGGUAAAGCGCGGAAAUUUCCGGGUGUUGUAGCAGUUGAAAUGCGUAGAUAUAUACGGGAGGAACACCUUGAGGGCGAAGGGCGGCUUUACUGGGACCAAUACUGACACUGAGGAAUCCGAAAGCGUGGGUAGCAAACAGGAUUAGAUACCCUGGUAGUYCACGCCCUAAACGAUGUYMACUAGCCGUKCGSGGGUAUCGAMCCCUGCAGUGGCGAAGCUAACGCGAUAAGUUGUACYGCCCUGGCGGAGUACGGUYGCAGAUAACCA
rnacentral:rRNA from 1 species